AACACAAAACCUCUCCACAUCCCUUGAUUAUUCAACACACUUAUGUGGGGUUUCUCCUUUAAACCUAGAGCAUUUUUCUUACUAUACCCUCAAUUUUUAGUCUCUUUUUGUCUUUUGUGUUUUAUUUAUUUAUUAUUUUCUUAUUAUUGUUUUAUUUAUUUAUUUUUGUUCUUUCUUUUAUUUCCUUUAGUUUUUUUAGUUCUUUUACCUUUUGUAUUGAUAUUAUGAUUUCCCUUUUAUUAUUUCUUUUACUUUUUUUUAUUACUUUAUUUUUUAGUUUAUUUUAUUGUAUUUUUAGUUGAUGCAUAAUUGUUAAUCCAAAAAGACAAAAUGACCAUUAAAAUUAAACUUUCAAAAAUACUAAAAUAAAAGGUGUUUGAUCAACAUCAAGUACAUUUUUCAAAAGCAUACUAAGUCUUUUUCUUUAAUAAGCGCCUCAUAUCAUUUCAAACCAUUUCAUAAAUCAUUUUUACUAACGCGAUAAACACGCAAUCAACAUCAAGUUGCAUGUCCGCUUACUCUAAGCGAUUAAAUACUUUUCUUAAUUAAACUUCGAAUGAAAAAGGGAAUGGGAGACGUUCGCCUCACCACCCCUCGAAUGAUUGAACGAUUGACGCUUGUCAUAUUACUCGAAUUUCCGUCUUCCGAUUAAAACACUCUAAAUAAACUUGGAUAAAGGAAUAAGUGACACACACCUCAUUAUUCCUCGAAUAAGCAAGUGGGAGGUGCUCGCCUCACUACCGCGAAUAGUCGACUUCCACAAACAAUUUUCAAAUACCAAAUUGGACAAAAAAGGAACGGGGACACUCACCCUCACUAUUCCUUGAAUAAGUGAAUAAUUGACGCGCACCAUAUUGCUCAAACUUUCGUCAAUCCCCCUAAAAAACAUACAAACACAUUAACUUAAUUUCUCGCCUCUGUGGGAUCAACACCUUCUUUUUGAAAAGAACAUUGUUAAAUCAUUUCUAAUGCAUAUACAAACUAGCGCUUAAGUCUCCCUCUACGAGCAUGCAAGCCCAUGUUUAACCGUUAGAAUUCGAUCUAAGAACUUAUUCAUUAAAACAAACUUCAAACAAUCAAACCUAUCUUUUUCUCGCCCCCGUCCGAUAAAAAUCCUUUUCACAAAUGGACAUUGUUUAGUCCUUUCUAAUGCGUACACAAACUAGCGCUUAAGUCUCUCAUGCGCGAGCAUACAAUUAAAUAUUUAAACUGCUAGAAUGCGACCAAACGAGAUCCCUUCUACUGCAAAAGAAACAAACACUAAGUCCCCCCAUCCGUGAGCAAACAAGUUAAUGUUUAAACUGUUACAAUGCGACCUAAAUAUUUGUCCUCUAAAAUCAAUCAAUCAACACUCUUUUGCUACCCCGAACUACGAAGCUUUGAGUUCCUCAUUGUACUCGAGGAUACGUAGGAGCAAGACUCACAAUUUUGUCAAACAUUAUAAUAAAAAUAUUUUUGCGACCCCUUUUAUUUUACACUUUCAAUAACUCGAAGAAAAUAAUUAACAUAAGCCAACAUUCAAUCGCGAAUUUAACUAAAAGGUUCACGUUGAGUACAACAGACGUGAGUGGUGCUAAUACCUUCCCCUUGUGUAAUCUACUCCCGAAUUCGAAUUUGUUUGUGACAGUCAUUUUCCUUUUUUUAAGGUUUUAUCAAUAUUUUCCUAUUCCUUCAUUAAAAUAAAUAAAGUUCAGUGGUGACUCUGUUCGAAUCAUUUUUUCUGUGACUUCGCGAAGGAUCAUAUUUUUUGAGAUGCGACACACCCAACCUCCAAACACUCAACUUUGCAACCAAUAGAUGCCACACACCCAAACAAAAUACCAAGAGUAUGACCCAUGACACCAAUAACCACAUGCUCCCACCACAUAUUACUAUAGCCUCAAUGAUUCAUUUGAUUCCAUAAUAUCCCACCAUAGCCCCCCACCAAUGAACACCCAAACAUCCCACCACCAAAGCAUCCAACCACAAUAUGACUUUGUUACACCACAAGAAUCAUUGCUUCGUUUCUAAAACGAUUUAAUGUCAUGAUUCAACCAACCAUAUCGUCCACUCAUAACCCAACCACAACGACCCAACUACGACAACAUAACCACCAAACUAAAUUACGGCAGUACCGUUGACGGUAACCCUCAACUAUUGAGAAGAAAUGAUGACAAAUAUGUCAAAUACUCCAGGACCCUCACAUCAACCACCUUUUCCUCAACCAACAUUCAAAGACCCUAAACACCUCAAAGAAAUCGUGAGAGACCUCGAAGACAGACUAAUGCACCAGGAUGUGGAACCUGAGGAUGUUUCAAUCGGGCGAAUCAUUUUAUGUAUUUGAAUUUUAUAAGGUAAUAUCAUGGAUUAUUUUUAAUUUUCUUCUUUAUUUCAAAUUUUUUAAAUUAUAAUUAAAAAAAGUUAAAAAAUAAAUAAAGGAGUAACCACAUGCAAUGACACAUGCUCCUAAUGGAUGCAUGCAUGCGCCACUUAAAGUGAUAUGUUUUCAAUGCUGUCACCAUCAUCAUCGGUGCCUUAGUGUAUAAGAAUAAUCUAUCUGUCAUUUCUCCUGACUAUUUUUUUUGAAAAAUAGUUAUUUUGAUAAAUAAUUUAAAAAUAUAAUUGUUUUAGUGUUUAAUUUAAAAAUAGUAGUUAUUUUAAAAAAAAUUCAAAAAUUGAUGUAAAUACGUGUGAUUAAAUUUUAUUGACUGAACAUAAAAAAAAUCUAUUUAUUGAAUUUAGCGAAUGAAUAUAAAGUUUAAUUGAAAUACACUGACAGUGUAAAAUGAUUUUACAUCGUCAGUUAAUAAUAGAGGUUGAAUAUUAAAAUAAAUUUAAUUUUUAUUUUAAAAAUCUAUAAAGUAAUACAAACAAGAAAAAUGAUGAUGAUGAAUUGAUAGAGUAAAACUUUAUAACUUAAAGACAAUAGUAAUUACUCUCAUGAAUAUUUCGUCCCAUAUAAAAAACGAUGAUAUUUGUCAUUUUUGUUAUUUUUCCCUCAACUCACAAACCGUUAAAAAAAUAAUAAAAUAAUUGAAAAGAGAAAUAAUCAUGAUAUAUUUAUAAAUUCAUUAGUUAAUUUGUAGCAUUUCUGAAAUUAUUAGAUCGAAGAAGCUCCUUCCGACAAAGAAAGGUUCGCAUCAUAUUCACAAAUUUCUACUCUUUUUCUUUCUUUUCGUUUUUCUCUCAUCCAGAUCUAUAAAUUAUCAUGAAUUUGAGAAAUCAUCGUUAAUAAAAAUCCUGCUAGUGAUUUUUAUAAUUUCAUAGGUUAUUCUCUUGGAACCCUAAAUUCUGGGUUGUAUAUAGGUUAUGGAAUUGAAAUUCCAGAUGAAUUUGAUAAAAUUGUUUAGUUUUUUUUUAUAGUUUUUUUUUAUUUUUUAUAAUUUUUUUUAGAUGCAAUUGAUUUCAUUUGUGUUAUUUUGGAGGAUAUGCUGUGUUGAAACCCUAUUUUAUCGGUUGUUUUAAGUAAUUAUUUUCAAUUUCUAUAUGUAUCUUAUUUUCUUAGGGUUCAUAGAUACAAAAACUAAUUAGUUAACAUGUUAAUCAUGAUUUUACCAUGGUUUUGCAGUUUGUGAAACAUGUUGGUUGUAAUAUUUGAAGCAUUGACACCUUUGAAAAAUGUGUGACCGUGACCGAAAUCGAUAGUGACGGUUGUAAUUACGUUUAAUUUAUUGGUAUUUUCAAAUUAUUACCGGUGUCAACGUGUUAGUGUCGGUGUUGUGUUUUCGGUGUCCAUGCCUCAUAGGUCCUAAUAUUGUAUAAUAGGAACAAAAGUUAAGUAGUUAACGUGCUUAAUGCGCCAAUCGUGAUUUUAUUUUUAUGGUUUUGAAAUUGCUAAAACAUGGUUGUUACUUGUUAUGAUACUGUAUAAUGUUUACCUUGCUUAUUUUUUCAUUAUUGCUUAAUGUAGAUAUCCUCGAUGGUUAAAACCUUAAAAUCCAGGAAAUUAUUGGCUUGUUAAGGUUGUUAGUGAAACACUUUUUCCAUAUUUGUUAAAUACUCCUGCAGGUCUAACUUACUAAUAUUCUUUAUAGAAAAAAGUGUGUGUGUACUAUGUAUCUAUGUGCAUAUGUAUAUGUGUAUGAUUAAUGAGAGAAACACACACUAAAUUUUUGGACUCAAAUGUUGUUGCAGAAAAUGGAAUAUUGCAUGCUUCUGAUUUUCUAUUUCUUUUCAUCUCCUGAUAUGAUAGGUUCUAAUUGGUCAAAAACAUGUCUCAUCGCCAAGGAGGUGAUGCUGAAUAUUUUGCGGAUGAAUAUGAAAUGGAUGAUGUAGAAGAGGAUAUCGAUAUAGAUGGUGAAUCUAUUAAUAGAGAGGGAGGUGACGUUGACUCCGACGUUGAUGAAUAUGAUUACUCGGUUCGUAAUAUGCCGUUUCCUAAAUUUUUACAUUUUUUACUGUUAUGGAUAUGUUGUACACGAUGAUGUUUUAUUGUACAAUAACCCAUUUUCCAUUUAUGGGGGCGUCGACUUACUCUCCUAGUUAAAUAAAUAAUUCAUCAAGCAAAUGUAAAUUAUUGUAUCUUUCUACGAGUAACAUUAUUGUUAUGAUGGCAGAGUAGUAAAGCGGUAGACACUACAGCUGCUCAAGCUAGAAGAGGACAAGACAUCCAGGGGAUUCCGUGGGAUAGCCUUAGCAUCACCAGAGAAAGGUAUCGGCAAACGAGGCUUGAGCAAUACAAGAAUUAUGAAAAUAUCCCCCAAUCAGGGGAAAGGUCAGGGAAGGUAACAAUUUGAUGCAUUUUCUCUUUGAUAUUUCAGAGAAAAAACUUCAUAUAUGUCACCGGCCAUAACUAUGGCCAAUAUAAACCAUAGUCACAGAAUUCGCCACAGUACACAGAACUGCGGAUUGGUCCUCGAGUACCUGUUCCCGGUAUUUCUUUUUUGCGAUUUGGUUCACGCAAUUUCAUGAGAAAUUUGCAGGAAUCCGUGUACCAGAGAGGCAAAACCAUCUCUGGUUUAAUUGAGCAUUAUAAUACUAAGUAAAAUAAAAACCGGCUAAAGAAACCGUUGUUUAAAUACUGCACUGGCAAUGGGAAAUACUCAUCGCAUUAAAAAAGGGAGAUAUCACUGGCCUUCACAUGCGCCGCACCUUGCUGUACACUGGAGCGUUGGUCUAUACACUGUUUAUAUUUAGUUUACCUCUAUGUUUUCCAAGCUUCCGAUGUGGGACUAUAGUGCUAUCUCCUAAUGUCGGACUACUCCUAUAGCCCUAUCUCUCUAUGUUUGACAAGCCACAUACUUGGGUGCAUAUCCUCUAUUGGUGACUAUUGGACUAUCCUUUUUAAGGUGACUUUUGUUGGAAUCUGAUUUUUUAAACAAAUGUUAAUUACUCUUCUUGAUAAUAGAUGCUUAGAUCAUAGAUACUCAAAUAAUUAUUUUGACAAUAGGGAAUUAGUUCCUAAAAUGAAAUUGCAUUUUUUUUAAUACUAAAAAAUGCUACCGGUCUAUUAUAUUAUAAAUCACACAACUAUAUAACAUCUUAGUGCUCAGUUUUUUAACAAUAUAAAUUGUUUUUUGACGAUUUUAAUGAUAUUAAUUUAAUUUGAAUUACAAAAGAUGUAAUCUACAUAAAUGGUAAACUAAAAAUAUUUCUAAAACUUCCAUUUUCUUGAAAAUGCGAACUAUCAAUUUUUCAUUACUAUUAAAAUGUAUUUAUGGAUAGUUUGAGAUUCUUUUGUUUUUAUCAUUUUUCGUGUUGUUUUUAAAUUAGAUAUUUUUAAUUCACAGUGUACCGAUUAGUAUAUUAAAACAUAUUACAAACCGAAAUAGUGCACUGACUAUGUAUACCAUGUACCUAAUACUUUGAGGGUUGUGUACCACAUACCCAAAACCGUAACACGUACUGCAGAAAAUUGUGAACCAGGCGACUAUGAUAUAAAUAACACCAUGCUUACCUGUUCAUUAUUGUCUAUUACAAACAGGAUUGUAACAGUACAGACAAAGGAUACUCAUUUUAUGAGUUCAGGAGAAAUUCAAGAUCAGUAAAAUCAACAAUUCUUCAUUUUCAGGUAAGCUGUAGCCUGUAUCUACUCUGGUUUUUAUAAUGGAUUAAGGAUGCUCUAGGACAUUUUACUGCACAAUGGCUCUGUUUAACUGUUUUUUAUAAAUUAAAAGUUAGAUCAGCUUAUUACAAUAUGAAAUAUAUUAAACCAAUGGUCCAAACUUUAAGUCAAGUCUGAAAAGUGUUGGUACUUCAAUGCACCGUGUAUUGAAAUUGAUAGCAAGAGUAAAGGGAGAAGGAAGAGACUCUACAUCACUCUAUACCGAACGGCCACAUGAUAAAAUGCUCAUAAUCAUUGAAUAGGUUCAAAAAAUUAAAAAUAUGCAGGUAUCCAAUACCUGCAAUAUUUAUCUGGUGGCCAGUUUAAAAUACUCAGUUGCUGGUUUGAAUCAGUAUGUGGUAAGCAACUAAAUUUGGUAGAGAGAGCUCUGAGGUUUUCACAGCUGGAACAUGUGAUUUAUUAUAUAUUAUGUCAAAUUUUGUAGUCUGUUCAUAGGAUGCGAAGCUUGAGCAGUACCUUGGAUGCAAUAGGCUUCGAAGAGAUGUGAUCUCAUGUGGUUUGACUGAUAUUCCCUCCUUUUUUUUAUACUUAUGCAGUUGAGGAAUUUGGUUUGGGCUACAUCAAAGCAUGAUGUAUACCUUAUGUCUCAGUUCUCAGUAACACAUUGGUCUUCUUUGACUUGCACAAGGUCUGAAGUACUCAAUGUUUCAGGACAUGUUGCACCAUCAGAGGUGAAUAGUCCUUUAAAUAAUGUUUUUAAUUGGAUAGCCCUCUAAACCAUGUUGCACCGUCAUGUAGCACAAGGUCUAAAGAAUGGUUUGACUUCUGAUUGUUCAUUGCAUUAAUUUUGAGAAAAUAAUUGUCAAUCAUGUUUGUAAUCUUCCAUGUUAUCAUUUUUCCUUGUCAGAAACAUCCUGGAAGUCUAUUGGAAGGAUUCACACACACUCAAGUUAGUACACUUGCAGUAAAAGAUAAUCUUCUAGUUGCUGGAGGAUUUCAGGGUGAACUUAUUUGCAAGGUAAAUGUUAAUUUGCUUGUUAUUGAGGAAUACGAUUUUUUUAAAUCUGUUGCGAAUAGAGCAGUAAGUAUAAUUUGUAAUCCUGGACAUCCACAUUCUGAUCAUUCCGUGAAACGUUUAAACAAAAUUUAAAGAAUGCAAUGCACUGCUUUCGUAAGUUCAUACGCAACAUGCACAAGCAGACAUGUGAUUUAUAUGUGGUGAUGAAUAACUUUUUUAGGUAACAUUGUAAAGACUUAAAUAUAUUUUUUGUCUAUGUAAAAGAGACUGUUUUGGAAAGAUCUGCCCAAUUUUCUCAUUUUGUGGCUUCCUAAAUAUCUCAGUAAUUUAGUGUUUUUCAAAUUUUACAGACCAUGUGGAACCUAAGAACAAUUAAUGAGCAUUGUUUUAAUAAUUGGUGGAGUACUAGAGUGUUGCAACUCCUCUCUCCUUCAUUUUCCAGCCCUUUUUUAAAUUUCUUUUCAAGGAAUACUUGAAUUAUCAUUUUCAUUCAUGUUAAUCCUAAUUGGGCAUUUGCAUAUGCAUUCAGUUUGGUUUGCAUUGCUAUUAGAUUCUGCAUGUUUUUUAGUUAUAUUUGCAGAUGCUGUAGACGUGUCCCUCGGAAUUUGUUUUUGUUAUUAGAACCAUCAGCUGAUAUACUUUCAUCACUUUCUUUGUUACUGAAAUGCAGCACCUAGACCGACCUGGUGUCAGCUUUUGCUCAAGGACUACUUAUGAUGAUAACGCUAUCACCAAUGCCAUUGAGAUUUAUGCUUCUCCUAGGUAUUUAGUUUUCUUUCUAAUUGUUUUGUUAUUUUAAGAAUGGUUAUAGGUACCUGUGUUUUAAUACCAUUGGUUCCUGCUUUUUAGUGGGGCAGUUCAUUUCACAGCAUCAAAUAAUGAUUGUGGAAUCAGAAACUUUGAUAUGGAGAAGUUUCAACUCUCUAAGCAUUUUCGUUUUCCCUGGCCAGUGAAUGUGAGUCUCUUAGAUUAUGUUCUAAUCUUUUAGUUUCCUACCUCUCUUAAGAUGAUAAGUGAAUACUUUAAUUUUGUUCUUCAGAAGUUUUAUUGCCAUUUCUUUUUGCAUUAAUGAGCAAUUUUUGCAUUAUGACACAUUUGCUCUAUGGAUGAGUCGAUUGAUUUCCCACCCUAAUUUGACUUAUAAAGUUUAUUCUCGAAGUUCAACAAUUAGAAGAAAUAAUGAACAAAUUCGAGUGUCAAUAUGGGCCUUCAGCGACUAGCUAGAAUUGUUGAUAUCUUUCUGUUCUUGUGACAUUCCUUUGCUUUCUAUUUAUGUUCUCAUCUUUGUCCGUUUUUUCCCAUGCUGCAGCAUACUUCUCUCAGUCCAGAUGGUAAGCUACUUCUGAUUGUUGGAGACAAUCCUGAAAGCAUGUUGGUGGACUCUCAAAAUGGAAAGGUAGUACACUACGCCCGUUUCGGUCAAACAACCAAACACUUCUUCAGUUAGUUGCAUCCAAAGAGUACUAGUACAUGAUUGCAAAUCUUGCUAAUCCGAAUUUCCUUAUUUUGCAGACUAUUGCUCCAUUAUCUGGGCACUUAGAUUUUUCAUUUGCAUCAUCAUGGAAUCCUGAUGGCGUGACCUUUGCUACUGGAAACCAGGACAAAACCUGUAGGAUUUGGGACAUGCGAAACUUAUCCAAGUCAGUGGCAGUGUUGAAGGGAAAUCUCGGAGCUAUCCGUUCAAUCCGACAUUCUUCUGACGGCAAGUAUAUGGCUAUAGCCGAGCCUGCAGAUUUUGUCCAUGUAUAUGAUGUGAAAAGUGGGUAUGAGAAAGAACAGGAAAUCGAUUUCUUCGGUGAGAUAUCCGGCAUAUCUUUCAGUCCAGACACCGAAUCCCUUUUCAUCGGGGUUUGGGAUCGUACAUAUGGCAGCCUUCUUGAAUAUGGCCGACGUCAUAAUUACUCAUACGCUGACCUAAUGAUUUAGUCGAAUAUAUUCAAGACGAGGGAUAAAGUAACAUAAUAGACAGUGCACUUGAUCGAACAGCUUGCUUUAUGUAUCCUUUUGGGGUAGGUUGUUAAUGUAUAAAUUGAGUGUCCUGCAAGUUACCUCAAAUUUGUAGUUAUAGUAGGGCGUGUUUGUGUUUAUAAUGGUGUGUGUGUGUGGAAAGUGAGGUAGUAGGAGGCUAGAAGAAGAUGAUGGUGCAAACAGAUCUUGCUGAGUAUCAUCAUCAUCACUAUGUAAUGCAGUAGUUUUCUGUCUUGGAAAAACUCACUAUGGCAAUAACAUAUAUAUAUAUAUAUAUAUCUUGAUAUUUCUUGGUCCUAUUUGUCCAUUGAUUGUCUAGUUAGUGUUUGAGUGGAGCAUAGGUAGUAUGCAUCAUUCAAAGGAAAACUAAGUAGUUUGUUGUAUGAAGAUUUUAUGUUACAUUAGCCUUUUGUAUUUUGUUUAUCUUUGUCAAGUUUUUAUGUCCAUGUUGAUGUAUUACAAAACUUGAUGGAAUAUAUAAAUACUAAAAGAAUAGUAUUGAGAAACUAGGACUUACCUGGUUAACUUUUCCAUAAACAACUAUAAGCUUAUUAAACUUAUUUUCUAUCAAAAAGAAAAAUGUAAACUUAUUUCAAUUUUAAAAAUUAUCAUAACUUAAAAACUAAUUUAAAUUUAGUGAGCCAUGUACAAUCAAAUUAAGUUCAAGUUGCUGUAAUUUUAAGAUACUCAAUUUAAUAUUUAAUAAUAAAAAAAUAAAAAGAAGUUUUUUAUAAAUAAAAUAAUGGGUGAGUCCUAGUUUAAGUCACAAGUAUUUUUUACUUGUAAAUAAUAUAAACAGAUUUUUGCAUAAAGACAUUCUGUGUAGAUAUCAACAAUUAAAGACCACAGAGAAAAAUAAAAAAGAAAUCUAGAAUCCAAAACAAACCAAUAAAACCAAGCCAAGUCACUAGCUAAAAUCUUUAGUCCAUGGUCCAAAAUCACAAUCACAAAGCACCUUAUCUUUCUCUACCACCACAUCUUUUCAUACUAUAUCAUAUAAUUCCAUAACCAACCUUCUCUUCCAUUCCAUUCCAUUCACUCAUCAAACCAAAAACAAUGGCAGCAUCAGCAUCAUCCAUGAUCUCAACAAACGCCCUAACAUCCACACUCCAAAAACACCAAACACACAACCUCAAACCAUCAAACCUAUGUUUCCAAGGCUUCAAACCCUUAACAAGAUCAACAAAACUGACACAGAACAAAAAGAGAUUCUCAUCCCUUGUUGUCAAAGCUGAACUCAACCCUUCACUUGUGAUAAGCUUAAGCACUGGUCUGUCAUUGUUUUUAGGAAGGUUUGUGUUCUUCAACUUCCAAAGAGAGAAUGUUGCAAAACAAGGUUUACCUGAACAGAAUGGUGUGACACACUUUGAAGCUGGUGACUCACGUGCUAAGGAAUAUGUUAGCUUGCUUAAGUCAAAUGAUCCUGUCGGGUUUAACCUUGUUGAUGUUUUGGCUUGGGGUUCUAUAGGUCAUAUUGUUGCUUAUUAUAUCUUGGCCACUUCUAGCAAUGGUUAUGAUCCUAGUUUCUUUGGUUAAUUAAGAUUACUAUGUUGUUCGUUUAUGUUGUUUUAAUUUGUCUUUUCUUGUCCCUUUUAUGUUUAUUAAGAUGAUGAUGAUGAUGAUGAUGUAUAGUUUAUUUGUAUGAGAUAUUCAACAAGUUAAGUUCCUUGGAUUAAAGCAUUUUGAUUUGGAUAAAAGCUUCUCUGGACUAUGAAACCUUUUUUCUAUAUUGAAAAUUAUAUUUAAUUUUGUAUUGUUUGCAUAUAAAUAUAUAUUGAUAUAAAUGCCAAGAAAUUAGUAAAUUAUGGUGCUCGUAAAUAAGGUUUUGAAAUUAAACCUCUAAGGCAUUGAAGUGUAAAAGUUGCUUCAACGUUUACAAAAAGUAAAUAAAUUUAAUAUGAAACGUAGGAGUUUUUGCUGCAUAUACCCCGUUUUUGAAUUUUUUUAUUCAAUAUGUCUCCAUCUGAAAAUAAUUUCCCAAUCUACCUCCUUUUUUAUUGUGUACUUGUCACUUCAAAUGACGAGGGGUUGAAGGCCUAAUUUUCGUAGUAAGGUCUCGUCACUUCAAUGGACGAGGACAUGAAGAAGGUUUUUUUUUUUUUUUUUAAUAUUUUAAAUACUUUAUUAAAUACUAAUAAUAAUUAAUAUAAUUGAUUUUUAAUUAUUAAUUCUAUAUUUAAUUAAUAUAAUUAAUUUAAUUAAAAAUAAUAAUAAUUUUUUUAUAAAAAAUAUUUAAAGUAAAUUGUAAAUAAUUAUAGUUUUUCAUGAUAAAAAAAAAUUGUAAUAUAAUUAUUUUUGAAAUAUUAAUAAUAAAAAUGAUUAAUUUUUAGAAUAUUAAUAAUAGAAAUAAUUUGUGUCUUAUAUAUUAAUAAUAAAAUUGAUAUGUUUCCCUCCAAAGUGUCAAUCAUUUUUUGGGAAUGAUAUCUUUCCCACCAAAAAGUUUUUGUGUUUGUACUGUCUCGGCCAAUGAUUGGCCGAGUAUUCAACUAUUAAUUUUUGUAUAAAUAGCAGAACUUGUAGAAAUGUAACUCAGAUCACCAAAUCCUUUCUUUAGUUCAUGUCUGUUUGUGGUCUUGUAUUUUAUGGACAUGGUGAAAAAAUGAGUGUUUGCCUUGAUCCGCAAUGGAAUUUCAGAACACUGAUUUCAGCCAUCCACACUGGCUUCCGACAAUUGGGUGGACGUCGUAUGAAGGUGAGGAAAGUAGAGUAUCGUUGUCCAUACAUAACGUUGACUGAUGCAAGCCCCGAUGGUACGUACAUGUAUUACCUGGAUCGUAUAGAAAAUGAAUGCAGAUGUCCAGUUGUAUGUUUUUCGGCACAUAGUGGUGAAGUUAUAGAGAGGAGUUGAAGGUCCACUUGUGGUUGGGGUUGUUGUUGUUGAUUAGUUUUUUAAUUAACCGUUGUGUUUUUGUUGUUGGUUGUUUAGUUAAUGUGGUCUUACUUUGUAACGAUAACCUUUGAUUAACAAA
rnacentral:lncRNA from 1 species